rfam:Saprolegnia parasitica CBS 223.65 unplaced genomic scaffold supercont2.40, whole genome shotgun sequence.
GGUCCUAUGGUGUAAUGGUUAGCACUCUGGACUUAUGAUCCAGCUACCCGGGUUCGAACCCCGGUGGGACCU